AUGUCGACACUUUUUGUGGCAAGCUUUAUUUCAGAGUUGGAUAGCCUAAAGAGGAUUACAAGAACAGUGACAUCGCGGAGGUGUGCAAAUGUGAUAACAAUUUCUAACACAUGGAAGCCUCCUUCAAGUGGCCAUGCAAAGAUCUAUGUCGACCGAGGUAUGUCUCGCGAUGGCGAUGUGGGUGCAGCAGCUGCGGUGUGCAGGGAUGAAUAUGGCAAAUAUCUCGGAUCCUCAGCGAUUGUCCUCCCGGGAGUAAAUGAUCCGGCAGUCCUCGAAGCUAUAGCGUGUCGUGAGGCGUUGGCUUUAGCUGAUGAUUUGUCUUUGAACCGUUUGAUAAUUGUGUGCGAUUGCAAGGCAGUGGUGGAGGACAUCAACGAAGAGAUUGGAGGCCCUCAUAUUACAGUGGUGAAGGAAAUAGUAAAAAGAAGAGCCACUUUUGAGAGAUGUGAUUUUAUGUUUGAAGGUCGUGAUUCGAACCAGGAGGCACACAAUCUUGUAAAAUUUUCAGUAGCGCUCCCACAGGGUCGCCAUUUGUGGCUGAUAUUCCCUCAUGACCCUUUUUGUAUCCUUUUAAAUGUUGUAUCAUAUUACUAA
rnacentral:rRNA from 1 species